rnacentral:lncRNA from 1 species
GAUUGUUUAUCCUGGAGAAGAGAAAAUUCAGGAAGAGCUACGUUCAGGAUAUUGCAGGGCUGUUAUAAGAAGAGCCAUCAGACUUAUUCUGUUCAGCUCCAGAGGACAGGACCAGAAACAAUGAGUAGGAUGUGGAAAGAAGCAAGUUUAGGCUAAUCGUCAGAAAACAUUUUGUUACCAUUUGAGCUGCUUUAAAGUGGUACUGGCUACUUCAUGAGGUGAUGGGUUACCUCUCCUUGGAAAGAAGAUCUUCAAAUGAGGUCAAGAUGGCCAUUUGUGAGGUAUAGCAUGGGUCUUUUUUUGUGUACAGCUUGGAUGAUGUGGUCACAGAUGCCCUUUCCAUCUCUCAGAUUUUGUGAUACCAUGAUCCUCUAUCCAAUCACCACCUCUCCUUUCUGAGUUUGAGUGCUCAGGGCAAUUAUAACUCCAUUAUGACCUGAUUAACCGCAGCACCAACUGCCACAAAUGCCAAUGGGAAUACCCUGUCCCUUUCCCCAUCAUCAUAUCCACCUCCUGCCUCCUGGAUCACUUCAAGGCUACAGUAAAUAGCCUUUGUGGCAUGGGCUAGGCACUCCAAGAGCAUUGACUACAUGGGGUAGGAGUGAUAUGUGUGAGAAAAAGGCUUCCAUGGCUUUGGCUGAAAUCUUCUACCGCUAGGAAGACACAGAAGAAAUGCCUGGACCAAAGAGUCCCGGGACCACACAGGAUUGGAGUGGAUCAUGGAAAACAAUAUGGCCAAAAGAGUCAAAGGUGAUAUUUUUUCCCAACCAUAUGGUGCUAACUGCAGUCCUUGGGCUGAAACAGGCCCCUGCAAGAAGCAAAAAGGAGACAGAAAGGCUUCUGAACCUCAACAAGAAGUGAUGCCAAGAGGUACUGCUAGGAAUAUCCAAGGAAGUGCCAUGGAGAGAGGUAGAAAGAGGACUAUAGAGAGGAACAGGCUUCCUGCACAGGGGAGGCCAUGUACCUUGAAGAUAUACAUCAAAGGAGCAAUGUUUUGUCAAAAGCUGCUGAAAAGGUUUGAGCCCAACACCGUUGACUAAAUGCCCUGAAUUCGUUCAGAGUACAAUUCAUCUCCUGCUUUCCUGUCCAUCUUUGGGUUGUCCAUCCAUCUAUAUUUCAUUAGGAAAAGAACAGCAACUGGACCUCGGAUGUCACUUGCUUAGAGAACUCUCUGAUGAGGAAACUACCUCUGCUAAGGUAGGUCAAAACCCUCAUUGCAACUUACAGUCCUUAGCUAAAUGCCUAAGUCAGUAAGAGGUUAAAUGACUUGCCCAAGUUCACACAUUCAGUAAGUGUCAGAAACUGAACUUGAAAUCAAGACUUGAACUUGAUUUCAAUACUAGCUCAACAUCAACUAUACCUGAAAUGUAAAAUAUGUGACCCAGUAACAUAGCAUGCCCAAGUGUAGCCUGGACCAGUUAAAACAUAAUUGGGAAAUAAUUGACAAAGUGCAUUAAAAUAUGACAAGAAUACAG